AUACCUACCUGGUAAGGGAGAUACCAUGAUUACAAAGUUGGUUUUCUAAAGGCAAGACUUAUCAUUGCAUUCCAGAUGUACUGACCCCUGCGAUUUCCCCAACUGUGGAAAACUCAGCUGAAUAUUUUUGGCAGUGGGGGACUGCAUUUGCACUCUCCCU